GAAUAUUGGGCAAUGGGCGCAAGCCUGACCCAGCCAUGCCGCGUGAAGGAAGAAGGCCUUCUGGGUUGUAAACUUCUUUUGAUCGGGAACAAAUAGCUCUUGCGAGAGCAGUUGAGUGUACCGAUAGAAUAAGCACCGGCUAACUCCGUGCCAGCAGCCGCGGUAAUACGGAGGGUGCAAGCGUUGUCCGGAUUUAUUGGGUUUAAAGGGUGCGUAGGCGGUCUUUUAAGUCAGUGGUGAAAGCCAACAGCUCAACUGUUGAACUGCCAUUGAUACUGGAAGACUUGAGUACAGACGAGGUAGGCGGAAUUUAUGGUGUAGCGGUGAAAUGCAUAGAUACCAUAAAGAACACCGAUUGCGAAGGCAGCUUACUAGGCUGUAACUGACGCUGAGGCACGAAAGCGUGGGGAUCAAACAGG
rnacentral:rRNA from 1 species